rnacentral:rRNA from 1 species
GAUGAACGCUAGCGGCAGGCCUAACACAUGCAAGUCGAGGGGUAGCAGGAUUAAGCUUGCUUAAUUGCUGACGACCGGCGCACGGGUGCGUAACGCGUAUGCAACCUACCUUAUACUGGGGUAUAGCCCGGAGAAAUUCGGAUUAAUCCCCCAUAGUACUAAUGAAUCGCAUGGUUUAUUAGUUAAAGCAUUGCGGUAUAAGAUGGGCAUGCGUACUAUUAGCUAGAUGGUGAGGUAACGGCUCACCAUGGCUACGAUAGGUAGGGGGCCUGGGGGGGUGGUCCCCCACACUGGUACUGAGACACGGACCAGACUCCUACGGGAGGCAGCAGUGAGGAAUAUUGGUCAAUGGGCGCAAGCCUGAACCAGCCAUGCCGCGUGCAGGAAGAAUGCCCUAUGGGUUGUAAACUGCUUUUAUUUGGGAAUAAACCUCUUUACGUGUAGAGAGCUGAAGGUACCAAAUGAAUAAGCACCGGCUAACUCCGUGCCAGCCGCCGCGGUAA